rnacentral:tRNA from 1 species
GUUAAUCUAGUUUAUAAGAAUAUUAAGUUGUGGUCUUAAUGGUGAGUAAUAUACUCGAUUAGCU